rnacentral:tRNA from 1 species
AAGAAAUUAAGGUAAACAAAAAGCUUCUAACUUUUAGUAGAUAGUUCGAUUCUAUCAAUUUCUUA